CACAGUGUGCACCUGUAGAUGGUCAGCCCAGUUCUUUCAGCUGCACCACCAGAGACACCCUUACUGACAGAAUAGCCUCUUCCCUCUGUGCAAAAUUUCUCUCUGUGCACAUUUUGAUGAUCUCCCCACCUCCCUCAUUUGAUUUCGGCUGUGCUUGUUGUUAUAAUUGUUUUACAAGUGUAUGUACAAACAGUGUGCUACCUCUUUAAAAUUUUCUAAAUACCUUGGGAACUCAAGCUUUCGGAGGAGGCUUCUCCAGCCACCUGUGGCUGCAAAACUGUGUGUGAAAACUUGGAGACUGUCAGGAGUGGAAGGGUGAUGUGUCCUGGCUCCCCGCCGUUCUAGAAUGAUAGGACAUUGCAAUAGCAGCAAAUUUGGAAAUCGUGUCUGACUUGGAUACUUUACUGAUGCAGAAACUGGAGUGUGGAGAAGAUUAGUGAUCUCACGUUCACCAGAAUUUGCCUUAUUGUGUGAUUUAGAGCUCAUCUGCAGUAUCUCCAAGGUCCUAGCCUGAGUCCUUCCUUGCUCAAUGAGGAGUCUAAAGACCUUUCACGGCUUUGGAGUUAAGAGGGUGAAAGUAGAAUGAGUAAAAGAUGACAAAUUCCUACCUUUGCUUUCCACAUUAACCACUGCUUGAAGAUAUCAACAUGUCGGCCACACUGAAUAGUUUUAUCCGCCGUGUCAAAGUCAACAUUGUAGAGUUUACCUGACUGGAAAAGAUAUUCAGCUUGCAUCUGAUUACAUGCAUCUAGAAGGCCCUAAAAAAGGAAAAACAUAUCUAACAUCCUUUUGUCUCAUAUGAAAAAUGUGGAAAACAUUCCUCCUCAGUGUUAAAGACUUCAAGAAGCUUUCCUUUGGAAGAUUAAGAAAUAAUCACUAGAAAAGGACAUGUUACCCAUCAUUGAGACAGAAAUGUUUUCUCAGUAUGUAUGUUGCUUCAGCACAUCAAAACCUAAAUUUAUGUGCAUUGAUGGGGUAUAAUUUAAAUGUUAAUUAAGCAGAACUAUUUGUACAAGAGGUAAAUAACAUUAUAUGUAUUUAUGUGUUUGCUAUAUGCUUUCCAUUUCACAUUACAUCAUUUGAUCCUCAUGGAAAACUGAUGGUGUAGGUACUAUAAUGACAACAUUUUUAUAGAUUGAAGAAACUGAGAAUAUUAACAUGUUAAGUAAUUUUCAAGAACAUAUAUCUAUACAAUGAUGAAUUUGGGAGCUGAAAAAAGGGCAGUUUGACUUGAGGUUUGUGGAAACACAACAUCCUAAGGAAGAUAACUCACACUCUGUUUCAGGCUAGGCUUGUGGAUCUAUAGGAAGGACCACAAUGUGACGGUCAGUGUUGAAGUAUUUCAGGGAAAUAGAAUAGAAAUUAUAACUCAAAAAUGAAAAUAGUUUAUGAAUCUGUAUUUUGGGUGUCCUAUUUACACAUGUAAAUAUUUUCUUCUUAGGCUCUUUUGAACCCCCUUUUUAAUCUUUUGUUAGAGCAGGCCUAGAGACUAUUGUAAACACUUUAAAACAGUAUCAUCAAGAUGAGUUUCUGCACAGCAAAAGAAACUACCAUCAGAGUCAGCAGGCAACCUACAGAAUGGGAGAAAAUUUUUGCAAUCUACUCAACUGACAAAGGGCUAAUAUCCAGAAUCUACAAUGAACUCAAACAAAUUUACAAGAAAAAAAACAAACAACCCCAUCAAAAAGUGGGCGAAGGAUAUGAACAAACACUUCUCAAAAGAAGACAUGUAUGCAGCCAAAAGACACAUGAAAAAAUGCUCAUCAUCACAGGUCAUCAGAGAAAUGCAAAUCAAAACCACAAUGAGAUACCAUCUCACACCAGUUAGAAUGGCGAUCAUUAAAAAGUCAAGAAACAACCGGUGCUGGAGAGGAUGUGGAGAAAUAGGAACAUUUUUACACUGUUGGUGGGACUGUAAACUAGUUCAAUCAUUGUGGAAGUCAGUGUGGCGAUUCCUCAGGGAUCUAGAACUAGAAAUACCAU
rnacentral:lncRNA from 10 species